AAUGUUUAGUUUCUCGUGCAACCGCCUUUAGCGGAAAAACUUAUAACAACACGUCAUUACCUCAUCUAUUAGCCGUCAGAUGAUCAUCUUAUAGUUGAAUCUCAUCCGUCCAUCAUUAACCAUCUCCUCUAUAAAUAUUCAACCACGAUAUGCUUUGUUUUUCAUCUCGCGAACACACGUUCACAACUUUGAUCGGACAGAUGUCCAUGUGAUCGAUCGGCGAUUAUGCAGGAAGCCAAGCCGAUGGUUUUAACGCGAGUUGUUGAUUGCGGUAUUGAAGGGUUUCUGCCAACAGAAUUGUCGAUACUGAUUAAAUUUGACUUGAACUGGAACAUAUUGUUGAUGUACUGAUGAGAACUGAAGUAAAGUUAUUGGCAACCAGGUUUGUAUGUAGGGUAUGCAAUCAGAAGUUACGGAUCUUGUUAUUAGUAUGUAUGAUGUCCUAUUACACCUUGUUGUUGUUACUUUGACCUUUGCCAUGUUGGGUGCGCUCGCAUGGCAGGUCGCCUAUCUUAAUAAAAAAUCCUGUUUUU